UUCCAUCCAAAAUCUCAGAAUACGUACAACACCAAAUCGACCCGCCCUACUUCGUCUUCUUCUUCGAAUCAAACCCGGAAACCGCGAUUCAAUCGCCUCCAGCAGUAGCGUGCGUCUCCUCUUCUCCAUCCCUUAUCCUCCGUAUCGAAUCUUCCAGGUGUCUCAAUCUUGUGUUUCGUCCGUCCUUGCUCCUCAGAUCGAACGGUGCUCCUUGGAAUUCCGUUGGGAAUCAGUACUGCCCAGCUCUCCAACCUUAUCCCUUCAAGAAAAAUUCAAAAUUUGAAAAUUUUGAAAUUCAAUUCGUUUUCCCUUUUAAUCAACCCAUAUAUUCGUUUAUUUAAGGCCCUCACCCUCUUCAUUCAAAAGUGGGGAGAUAGGUAGAGAGAGUUGGCGAAAAAGAAUUGGAAAAUAGGGGUUAGAAAGGAGAAGAAUAGAAGCAAACACAGUUAUAUAAAUUUAUAAGAAGAGUUGUUGAUUUCUAUUUUUUUUUGCGAGAUUAAAGAUUUUCGAUGUCAAACAUCAGUUUUAAAAUAUCCCGUAUUCUUCUGUCGAAAGCUCUCAUCGAAAGUAUGGAAGUCUCUGCUUGGUUUGUUAUUGUCUCAGUCGCUACUCAUCAAGAGGUAAAUAACUCUCAGUUAUUUUAUUCAUUCAGUUUCCAGUAGUCGUUUGGAUUUGAGUUGUGUUUUUAUGGGCUUCGAAAUACUUUUACUUGAUAUGUUGUACUCUAAGUGAUAUCUUUAGCCCUCACCUUAUUUCUCUCGGUAACUGGUAGUGUAUAUUUCGUUUUGAACUAAUUGAAUGUCUGUUCGAAUUCGUUUUAUCCAUUCUUAAUUCCCUCAAGCUCGUGACUAUAGUGCUUGCCUCAAUAGUUAGUUUGUUUCACUUGUUAAUUAUCAGAAUGCUUUUCUGUCUCUAUUCGUGGAAAUGAUAUUCAUAUUUUGUUGUACGUGUCAAAAGAAUCACUCCAUGGAUUCGGUUUGGCACUUAUUUUUCAAGUUUAAGUUGGUCAUUUCUCUUUCUUAUCGGUCGGUGUAGGUUAGUGUUGAUUUGUUCGAGUCAACCUCGUUAUCUUAGCCACUCUUCUGAUGCCUGCUUAGUCCCGCACUUAAUCUUGUGAUAAAUUUAUUAAAGGCUUAUUAAUUUGCAUUUCACAUGCAUGUGACUCUCAAACUUGACGUUUGAUUGCUAUUCACUUAAGUUAUGUGCAAAUAGUAAUGGUCAUUGUGUGUUUAAAUGCAUUAAGUCUUGCCUUAGCGUUCUCUCAAAGUGGUUCAUGCAUGCUGGAAUUUUUUUGUGUUUAGAUUACCUUUUAGUAGCUUAAUGUUUUGAUUUCAUUCUCUUUAGCUCCUUUAUUAUUUACUCAUAGAAAGGUUAAAAAAAAAGAAUUUGGAUUUGUCUGGAAAAAUAAAUAAAUAAUUUUUUAGUCCACAUUGUGAUUCCUUGGAUGGUGUUCAAAGCAUCUGUAUGUAUGUUAUACUUGGGAGUUUGAUUUCCUCUUCUUCUAUUCCCUUCACUGCUUAUCAGAAACUUCCCUUUAAAUUAUUGUUCAAGUGUUAUUUUAUUAAUAAUGUCUGGUAGAUGUUAGUAUUUUUCAUCACUUUAUUUCCUUCCAUAGAUGUUAAUCUCUUAUUUUACUUUAUAUUUUGCAUGUGAAACUGCAUCCGAGUCCCCUUGAACUCCCCUACUUGCAUAUCGUUGAGUCGACCCCCCUUCAUCGGGUCAGCUAUCGGGGUGAAUUGGAGAGUUGGUGUACAGGUGGAAAAUUGAUAAAUCCGUACAGAAAAUAAGUUUCCUUUUCUGGAAAUGUGAAAACAAGUUGAAAAUAUGGCUUGUAUACAGACAUAUACAGUGAUAUACAUUGUGAAACGGCAAUAUACAGGUUCAAAAGGGCGUGAAAAUGCAGAAAAAAUUACAUGACAUAAGGGUCAACAAAAUUCAGGCUUCAAAGGUUCAAAAAUGGGUCGCAAAUGUCUUGUAUACCAGCGUAUACGUAAUGUGUAUACGCAGAUUUCUUUGAAGGAAAUAGGCCCAAUUUCCCUGAAAAUUGCAGCAGCAGAAUUUGGGCCUAGGGCAAUAUACAGGUUCAAAAGGGCGUGAAAAUGCAGAAAAAAUUACAUGACAUAAGGGUCAACAAAAUUCAGGCUUCAAAGGUUCAAAAAUGGGUCGCAAAUGUCUUGUAUACCAGCGUAUACGUAAUGUGUAUACGCAGAUUUCUUUGAAGGAAAUAGGCCCAAUUUCCCUGAAAAUUGCAGCAGCAGAAUUUGGGCCUAGGGCAAUAUACAGGUUCAAAAGGGCGUGAAAAUGCAGAAAAAAUUACAUGACAUAAGGGUCAACAAAAUUCAGGCUUCAAAGGUUCAAAAAUGGGUCGCAAAUGUCUUGUAUACCAGCGUAUACGUAAUGUGUAUACGCAGAUUUCUUUGAAGGAAAUAGGCCCAAUUUCCCUGAAAAUUGCAGCAGCAGAAUUUGGGCCUAGGGCCCAAAUUUGAUAUUUCCUCCCUUUCUUAUUUAUUUAUUAUGAUGUUGGACUAACAUAUUUUAUUUGAUUUUGGGUUUUAAUUUAAUUAUAUCCCUAAGA